rnacentral:rRNA from 1 species
AGUGAACGCUGGCGGUAGGCCUAACACAUGCAAGUCGAACGGCAGCACCAUAAGAGCUUGCUCUUACGGGUGGCGAGUGGCGUACGGGUGAAGAAUACAUCGGAAUCUACUUUUUCGUGGGGGAUAACGUAGGGAAACUUACGCUAAUACCGCAUACGACCUACGGGUGAAAGCAGGGGAUCUUCGGACCUUGCGCGAGUGAAUGAGCCGAUGUCGGAUUAGCUAGUUGGCGGGGUAAAGGCCCACCAAGGCGACGAGCCGUAGCUGAUCUGAGAGAUGGAUAGGCGCCGCUGGGAGUGGGACACGGUCCAGACUCCUACGGGAGGACGCAGCGGGGAAUAUUGGGCAAUGGGCGCAAGCCUGAUCCAGCCAUGCCGCGUGGGUGAAGAAGGCCUUGGGGUUGGGAAGCCGUUUUGUUGGGAAAGAAAAGCUGCAGUUUAAUACGCAGCUGUACUGACGGUACCUGAAGAAUAAGCACCGGCUAACUUCGUG